CCUACGGUGGCUGCAGUUGGGAAUAUUGCACAAUGGGCGCAAGCCUGAUGCAGCCAUGCCGCGUGUGUGAAGAAGGCCUUCGGGUUGUAAAGCACUUUCAGCGGGGAGGAAGGCGGUGAGGUUAAUAACCUCAUCGAUUGACGUUACCCGCAGAAGAAGCACCGGCUAACUCCGUGCCAGCAGCCGCGGUAAUACGGAGGGUGCAAGCGUUAAUCGGAAUUACUGGGCGUAAAGCGCACGCAGGCGGUCUGUCAAGUCGGAUGUGAAAUCCCCGGGCUCAACCUGGGAACUGCAUUCGAAACUGGCAGGCUAGAGUCUUGUAGAGGGGGGUAGAAUUCCAGGUGUAGCGGUGAAAUGCGUAGAGAUCUGGAGGAAUACCGGUGGCGAAGGCGGCCCCCUGGACAAAGACUGACGCUCAGGUGCGAAAGCGUGGGGAGCAAACAGGAUUAGAUACCCCAGUAGUC
rnacentral:rRNA from 1 species